UCUGCGUAACUAACAUAAUUUAAAAUAGCGGAGCUUUUCAGUGACAAUGACAUUGUAUAACUACCGUUGGUCAAUUACAUGCAUGCAACCUUUAUGUAACAAAAUAAUGUACCUACCCAGAAAUUCACAUCAUUCAGAUUUUUGUCAACUAAAUAUUCCGUACUGGUGCCAUUUCGAGACCGGGCUACGUUACAAGAACGGGGAAUAUAAUUUUCCACAUAUGCGUACUGACACAAUAAUUUAUACCAUCUAUAAAAAAGUUAAAGAGCUUUUAGUAUACCGCACAACCGUUCAUUCUCUGUAUAUUCGUAUCAAACUGUUGGAGUGUAGAUCAGCCAAUUUUGUCAUAGCUAGGGCAAAGGAAUUUAAUUACUUCGUCGAGAAUCAUAAAAAUUGCUCACGGGAACUUCAAAUUUAAGAACAAACGUGACAAGCUUGUAGAUUUAAGGUAUAAGACAUCGUCGGACGUCAAAAUCAGUACAGGAGCUAAGUACAACCGUAAAGAAACAAUAUGGGGCUCAACAGAUUCGUUUCGAUAAUGUCAAACUAAAAUCUCAUCAAACGCGAAGCACUUUCACAACCGCUAUAAAAGGUCAUUCGUCUGUCGUAGUAAAAUAUAUGGCAAUAUUCCAAAUUUAUGGACAAAAAAGUGAGACAAAUUGUUGUGUACAUAAGAAUAACCAAUAUUGUGGGGUAAUAAAAAAAGAUAUGAAACUUUCAUUGUUAUUAAGAGGAUGGUCCGUUUCAUAAUUCCGAUUGAAGACA